AAAUUGGGUUGCUCUGAGGUAUACGUGCGACGUCUAAGUUCUUCCUCUUGAGCCAAUUUA
rnacentral:tRNA from 1 species